CCUACGGGGGGCUGCAGUGGGGAAUAUUGGACAAUGGGGGCAACCCUGAUCCAGCCAUGCCGCGUGUGUGAAGAAGGCCCUCGGGUUGUAAAGCACUUUCAGUGAGGAAGAACGCCUGGUGGUUAAUACCCAUCAGGAAAGACAUCACUCACAGAAGAAGCACCGGCUAACUCCGUGCCAGCAGCCGCGGUAAUACGGAGGGUGCGAGCGUUAAUCGGAAUUACUGGGCGUAAAGCGCGCGUAGGUGGAUUGAUAAGCCGGUUGUGAAAGCCCCGGGCUCAACCUGGGAACGGCAUCCGGAACUGUCAAGCUAGAGUGCAGGAGAGGAAGGUAGAAUUCCCGGUGUAGCGGUGAAAUGCGUAGAGAUCGGGAGGAAUACCAGUGGCGAAGGCGGCCUUCUGGACUGACACUGACACUGAGGUGCGAAAGCGUGGGUAGCAAACAGGAUUAGAUACCCUGGUAGUC
rnacentral:rRNA from 1 species